rnacentral:rRNA from 1 species
AAUUGUUCCUCGUUAAGGGAUUUAAAUUGUUCUCAUUCCAAUUACGAGACCCAAAAGAGCCCCGUAUCAGUAUUUAUUGUCACUACCUCCCCGUAUCGGGAUUGGGUAAUUUGCGCGCCUGCUGCCUUCCUUGGAUGUGGUAGCCGUUUCUCAGGCUCCCUCUCCGGAAUCGAACCCUAAUUCCCCGUUACCCGUUGCCACCAUGGUAGGCCACUAUCCUACCAUCGAAAGUUGAUAGGGCAGAAAUUUGAAUGAACCAUCGCCGGCGCAAGGCCAUGCGAUUCGUUAAGUUAUUAUGAUUCACCAAGGAGCCCCGAAGGGCGUUGGUUUUUUAUCUAAUAAAUACACCCCUUCGUGAGUCGGGGUUUUUAGCAUGUAUUAGCUCUAGAAUUACCACAGGUAUCCAUGUAGUAAGGUACUAUCAAAUAAACGAUAACUGAUUUAAUGAGCCAUUCGCAGUUUCACAGUACAAGUUGCUUAUACUUAGACAUGCAUGGCUUAAUCUUUGAGACAAGCAUAUGACUA